AAGUCGUAACAAGGUUUCCGUAGGUGAACCUGCGGAAGGAUCAUUAACACGUAUCCAACGUUAAACCCCCCGUGAACUUUUAUUGCGAACCACGCCUUUGUUAAAAAGUAGCAAUCCCUGGUAAAUCAUCGCCGAACAGUUUUGAUUCAGGGAUCUCUGCGUGUUAACAGUUGUUCGAGUUUGGUGGCCGCACAAUUAAGCGCAGGCCCGUUUUCAUGCAAAGGUGAUAGGGGGGUCUAUGCCCGGUGACCCGGUCGCCGGCCGUGUCGGCCUCCAGCGAUCGUGACUGCGCCAUUCGUACAGAGCUAGUGACACUGUCAGACACUAACAAGCAGAGGAAUGCCAGGCCACUUACCUCGCGCUACAACCGCUCUCUCAAUGGAUAUCUUGGUUCUC
rnacentral:misc_RNA from 1 species